rnacentral:misc_RNA from 1 species
UCCAAAUCUAAAUAAAAAAAGAUCAAGACAUCACUAUCAGAUCACAAAAUCACAAAAAGCAAAAGCUAGCAACUUCAAUUAGCAUAAUGAGGCAGCUAUUUCAGAGGGAAAGAAAAUUAAAAGUAAAAUCAACAUUUUUCUUCCUGAAUACAAACCCCAAAAUUCAGGAGCUUGAAAAGAAAUUUCUCGCAAAAAUAAAUUUAAAAUUAAAAUUUACAAUGAAAUUACGUAGUCUCAUCAAAGCAAUAUAAUCAUAAACAACCACUCAAAAUCAGGUAGAUCUAAAUCAAUUUCCAUCCACAUGAACAAAAGACACGCUUCCAACCCCAAAAUCUAAACACUAGAGAAUCUAUACCCUCCAAAUUGCACAAAUCGAAAACAAAAAAUCCCAGAAUGCAAAUCAUUUCCAGUGGAAACAAAGAUUAACAAGAAGCAG